rnacentral:sRNA from 2 species
ACAAUAAAAUGAAACUGUAUGGAUAAUGGAAGUUGGUGAAAUUCCAACACGGUCCCGCCACUGUAAUAGGUUAAAUUGCCUUGAGUCAGAUCUUUUAUCUAUAUAGCGGAUUGUAUAGCCAUCUCGAGGUAGGGUGGGCUAUAUAGC